AUACAGAGGGUGCGAGCGUUAAUCGGAAUUACUGGGCGUAAAGCGCGCGUAGGCGGUCUAUUAAGUCAGAUGUGAAAUCCCAGGGCUCAACCUUGGAACUGCAUCUGAUACUGGUAGACUAGGGUUUUGGAGAGGGAAGUAGAAUUUCAGGUGUAGCGGUGAAAUGCAUAGAGAUCUGAAGGAAUACCAGUGGCGAAGGCGACUUCCUGGCCAAAAACUGACGCUGAGGUGCGAAAGCGUGGGUAGCAAACGGGAUUAGAAACCCCAGUAGUCC
rnacentral:rRNA from 1 species